rnacentral:rRNA from 1 species
UACGGAGGGUGCGAGCGUUAAUCGGAAUUACUGGGCGUAAAGGGUGCGUAGGUUGUUUAAUAAGUUAUCUGUGAAAGCCCUGGGCUCAACCUGGGAAGGCCAGAUAAGACUGUUGGACUCGAGUAUGGGAGAGGGUAGUGGAAUUUCCGGUGUAGCGGUGAAAUGCGUAGAUAGUCGGGAGGAACACCAGUGGCGAAGGCGGUUGCCUGGAGCUUUGCUGACGCUGAUGCGCGAAAGCGUGGGGAGCGAGUCCGG